CAGGGACAAGUAUUCACUUGAUCUGUUGAGAUAUACCCGGCGGUGGAAGGUGAUGAGUCUGCUGGGUUGCUCUCUCUUUUAAAGAGCGACAGGUCUGUCAACUUGCAGAAAGUAGACUUUGAGGACCCCCAUCAUAGUCGGCUGAAUUAGGCCUUAAGAGGAAUCCCUGAUUUUGUGAAAACCAUCUUCUAAAAGGCAAACAUCUGAAAGGAGCUGAGAAGAAAGAAGAUAAUGUUCCACCAAUGUUUACAAUAGUUCAGAUAUACUGUACAGUACUAUCCUUCUUCUCUAUCUUCUUUGCAAAUAUAUGGUUCAUGCCCUAGUAAUUUCUCACCCUGACUACUGCAGUCUUCUCUUUGGUCUCCCAUUUUCUAAACUCAGCCUCCUUGCUUUUUAGUGCUUUUUAGAAUCCACUUUGCUGUUAUUCUUUUGUCACACGUUCUUUUUGUCCUGCUACUUUUUGUUUUCUUAUUUAUGCUUCCCUUCCUCUGGUGAACUACCCAGAGAGCAUUUUGU